GGAGAAGUUGGUAGCUAAGUGGUAGAGUGCAUGCUUUGUCUGUAUGAUGUUCUGGGUUCAAUCCCCAGCUUCUUCC
rnacentral:tRNA from 1 species